rnacentral:tRNA from 1 species
GCCCGGAUGGCGGAAUUGGUAGACGCAAGGGACUUAAAAUCCCUCGAGCUUCGGCUUGUACGAGUUCAAGUCUCGUUCUGGGUACCA